GCAACUCGCCUGCAUGAAGCUGGAAUUGCUAGUAAUCGCGGAUCAGCAAGCCGCGGUGAAUACGUUCCCGGGCCUUGUACACACCGCCCGUCACACCAUGAGAGUCGGGAACACCCGAAGUCCGUAGUCUAACCGCAAGGAGGACGCAGUCGAAGGUGGGUCUGAUAAUUGGGGUGAAGUCGUAACAAGGUAUC
rnacentral:rRNA from 1 species